GGCAUGAAGCCACCGGAAGCGAGCAGCCUUGUCCCGGAAACGCCAGCAUGCCAGCAUGCUCUGCGGUAAACUGCACGAGUAGGCCGGAGAAGACCUCAGGCAAGACGUUUCACCUGUUUCCGCGCUGUCAGCCGAAACUGUACCAGCAAUGGGUCGUAAACUUAAAAAGGGACAAGUGGAAACCAUCUCCCGGCAGCAGACUUUGCAGCGACCACUUCGAUGAUUCGUGCUUCGACCGAACAGGAGCCAGAACCCGGCUGCGAAGCGGCGCAGUCCCGACGCUCUUCAACUUCCCAGAACAC